UACGUAGGGUGCGAGCGUUUAAUCGGAAUUACUGGGCGUAAAGUGUGCGCAGGCGGCCGAGCAAGUCGAGUGUGAAAGCCCCGGGCUUAACUUGGGAAUUGCGCUCGAAACUACUUGGCUGGAGUGUGGCAGAGGAAGGUGGAAUUCCAGGUGUAGCGGUGAAAUGCGUAGAGAUCUGGAGGAACACCGAUGGCGAAGGCAGGUCUCUGGGCCACUACUGACGCUGAGAAGCGAAAGCAUGGGGAGCGAACAGG
rnacentral:rRNA from 1 species